rnacentral:lncRNA from 1 species
GGCCCCCAGACUCGGGAGUCGGGAACAGGCGGGCGGCGUGGCGGGUAGCCGGGCUCUUCUCUGACAUGCCAGGUUCGUGCUGGCCGUGGGCAGUGCCGUCUUCGACGCCAUGUUCAACGGGGGGAUGGCCACCACCUCCACGGAGAUCGAGCUGCCCGACGUGGAGCCGGCCGCCUUCCUGGCGCUGCUCAAGUUUCUCUACUCGGAUGAGGUUCAGAUAGGACCCGAGACGGUCAUGACCACG